UAAUGAGGGAGGCUAGCGUUGUUCGGAAUUACUGGGCGUAAAGCGCGCGUAGGCGGCUUUGUAAGUUAGAGGUGAAAGCCCGGAGCUCAACUCCGGAACUGCCUUUAAAACUGCAUCGCUUGAAUCCAGGAGAGGUGAGUGGAAUUCCGAGUGUAGAGGUGAAAAUUCGUAGAUAUUCGCAAGAACACCAGUGGCGAAGGCGGCUCACUGGUCCGGUACUGACGCUGAUGUGCGGAAAAGCGUGGGGGAGCAAACAGG
rnacentral:rRNA from 1 species